AAGGCACUGGUUUCUGAUACCAGCAUUCCGGGGUUCGAAUCCCUGCACCCCAGCCAUACAAAGACAAUUUGAAAA
rnacentral:tRNA from 1 species